UACGGGGGGGGGCAAGCGUUGUUCGGAAUUACUGGGCGUAAAGGGCGUGUAGGCGGCCAACUAAGUCCGACGUGAAAUCCCCAGGCUUAACCUGGGAACUGCGUCGGAUACUGGAUGGCUUGAAUCCGGGAGAGGGAUGCAGAAUUCCAGGUGUAGCGGUGAAAUGCGUAGAUAUCUGGAGGAAUACCGGUGGCGAAGGCGGCAUCCUGGACCGACAUUGACGCUGAGGAGCGAAAGCUAGGGGAGCAAACGGG
rnacentral:rRNA from 1 species